rnacentral:rRNA from 1 species
UACGUAGGCAGCAAGCGUUGUUCGGAGUUACUGGGCGUAAAGGGUGUGUAGGCGGUUCUUUAAGUUUGCUGUGAAAUCUCCCGGCUUAACCGGGAGGGUGCGGUGAAUACUGAGGGACUAGAGUACGGGAGAGGAAAGUGGAAUUCCUGGUGUAGCGGUGAAAUGCGUAGAGAUCUGGAAGAACACCAAAGGCGAAGGCAGCAUUCUGGCUCGUAACUGACGCUCAUGUGCGAAAGCUAGGGGAGCGAACGGG